rnacentral:lncRNA from 1 species
CCGCCUCGGCCUCCCAAAGUGCUGGGAUUACAGUUUUGAGCCACCGGGUCCGGCCUUCUCCUCUUUUCUAUGUUUACUCACCCAUAAGUCUUUUUAUCCACUUCAUGACUUGAUGUAAAUCCUAAAUGACUCCCACAUUUAUAUCUUAGCCCUCGCCUCUCCUACACUGCAGACACUGAUGUGUAACUACCUACUCAAGAUUUCCAUUUUGACAUCUAAUAGGUAUCCCAAACCUAACAUUUUCAAAGGAAACCUCUUUAGUGUACCCUCCCGCACCAGAACUUCUCGUUCCCCUGCUUUCCCACAUUAGUAAAUGAGAGUCCCAGUUACUCACUUGCCCAGGUACUGCAUUGUGUGCUGCAGUGAGUUAGGCUAUUCUCCUCUAUAUCUUUUUUUCUACAUUCAAGUUAAACAUAAAAAGAACCACCCCCCACAUUUUUUUUCCCCCGAGACGGAGUUUUGCUCCUGUUGCCCAGGCUGGAGUACAAUGGCUCCAUCUCUGCUCACUGCAACCUCCACCUCCUGGGUUCAAGCAAUUCUCCUGCCUCAGCCUCCCGAGUAGCUGGGAUUACAGGCGCACACCACCACACCCGGCUAUUUUUUGCAUUUUUAGUAGAGAUGGGUCUCACCAUUUUGGUCAGGCUGGUCUUGAACUCCUGACCUCAGGUGAUCCACCCGCCCCAGCCUCCCAAAGUGCUGGCAUUACAGUCAGGAGCCACCGCGCCUGGCGAAAAACCCGUUUUGAUAGAAUCCCCUGCCCAAUCUGAUUGUGAGGUACCCAUAUUUGUAGAUAUUCUGCAAUAUCAGAAUAUUCUGCCGUUUAAAAAACUGACCUAAGGUUGACCUUACCAUUUUAAUUGAUAUGAAAAUUGUUUUAUGUAUUUCAGUUGUCAUAAUAGUUUACGUACACCCUUAGGUGAAAAAAGGGUGUGUGUGUGUGUGUGUGUGUGUGUAAAAUAAAUUGUGGUACAUUUAUACAAUAUAAUACUACUAACAAUGUAAAUGCACAGAUGUUACUAUAUCCAAAACUUGGAUGAAUCACAAACAUAAUUUUAAGCAAAGUUUUUAAAACAGGCAAAGUUAAUAAUUUAUGGUUUUGGAAAUCAGGAGAGGAAAAGGAAAAGGGCAUAUGUGUCCCUCAUCAAAAAACUGAAAUCAACAAAGCAAUAUUUAUAUUUCUGUAUCAAAGCUGCUGAUUCCACUGCGUUUUUUUUUUUCUUUUUCAGCACAAUUUUCACUCCUCUUUUUAACUAAAAACUGUCUCCUGGCUUCAGUUGCAAGGGAUCUUCAUGAGUGCGACACAAAAGAGAGUGGGAGAAAAGCAUGAACUACAGCCCAGAACAGAAUGACUAAUUCCUGGAGGACGAAUUUGCAUUCAGCUUGAAGGCCAAGAGGUGGAGUUUCACUCUUCAUUGGCCAGGCUGGAGUACAAAUGGUGCAAUCUCGGCUCACCGCAACCUCUGCCUCCCAAAUUCAAGUGAUUCUCCUGCCUCAGCCUCCUGAGUAGCUGGGAUUACAGGCACGCACCAUCAUGCCUGGCUCAUUUUUGUAUUUUUAGGAAAGACAGGGUAUCACCAUGGUGGCCAGGCUGGUCUCGAAUUCCUGACCUCAGGUGAUCCACCCGCCUCAGCCUCCCAAAGUGCUAGGAUUAAAGGCAUGAGCCACUGCACCCAGCCUGUUUUCUCAAAUUUAAUUAAUGAUCUUAAAAACAGAAAUAAUAACAACAACUGUAAGUAUUUUUCAGUUGGUGUCUACUGUAUGUAGUCAUUGUGGAAAUCUCUAUACAUUAAAUAUUCUCUAAUUUGUGCAACAACUCUAUGGAAUAGAUGGUAUUAUUAUCCUCAUUUUAUAUACAAGGUUAAGAAAAUUGUCCACAAUUUAGAUAGCAAGCUUAAAAAGGCAGACCACUUCCUCUCCCUAGGUGGUCAAAAGGGACUAUCUAGAAAUUUCUUUUGAUAUAUUGCAAUGAGUCUGUGAGACAGAAGAUUGCUGGCUCUGAACUGUAGACUCUUACAUGUUUUUACACAAGUCUUUAAAAAAUCAACUUGUUAAAGGAGAUUGGUUAGCUCUUUUUCUGUUUACAGAAUUCAUCUUUCAUAAUUCUGUGUUUGUGGCAGAUAAUUAGACGCACAGAGUUUGGGUUUAGAAGACUUUCAGGUUUCAGAGCAAAUUGCUUAUUUAAGGUCAAAUUUGCAGGCUUAAUUUAUGUAUGCUUUCAUAUGGAACCCUAUAAAUAUGCACCAUAUGCUUUGGGGUAGCAGAACACUCAGUAUGUUGUUGAGGCCAAGUGGAAUCAUAUCAAGCAGUCCUUCAGAGUUCAUUCUUCUCAUCCUUGAAAAUGAGUUUAAAUUACCUUAUUAGUGAAUACUGCUAUACGAUUUCUGAUUGCUCUACCACAUAGCGAUUACAUGCUGUUUCAUUAAUUACUUCCAGCUAUCUAUUAAAUUUUCUGAUAGAGCAAGGUGAUUUUAUUUGUGGGAUCAUUUUUCAUAAUGAAAGAAAAUGUCAGUCUCUGAAAUAGGUUACAUUUAUUCCUAACCUUAUACAUUCACUCAUCUUGUGGACCUCUUAGGAAAGAACCACACCUUCGUCUAUUUAAAUUCCACUCAUUCUUCACGAUAUCAUCAGAUUUUGCCUCUGCAGCCAUCACUGACCUCUAUCUGCCUAUAGCUUUCUUGAUUACAUACAUCUUACCUCUCAUCUCUUGGUUCCCUCCAAGGCUUACUUUAGUAUCCUGCAUAUAAUGGCACUCAAAACAUCUUGCAGAUGAUAUGUUACUUGUGGUCUCUACUACACAGCUAAGUAUUUAAUCAUUCGUUGUUCUACGCUAUUUGCCUCUAAGUCCUAAGUGUUCGGCUAGCAUAUAUAAUUGAAAUACAUGUUUCUUAAGGGUAGAAACCAAGUAUUAUACUUCUUUAUUAUCAAACAUUGCACCUAACACAAAACUAAGAAUACAGUAAGUACUUGGCGAAUCAAACUCUAAAAUUGCUCAAUGUGCACUACAUGCUGUACACAGAUAGAAAGGACUAGAGAGUUAGAGACCUCUGUGUAACUCUGGGAAAGCCACUCAAGUCCCUAUCCUCUGACUCCUUAUCUUUAAAAUAUAAUGCCAAUAACUACCCUCCUCCCCCCAUGCACAAUGUUGUGGAGCCUCCAUAAGAUGAUUUAUGCAAAAGUUGUUCGACAGGAAGCUCUUAGCAGGAAGGCACUCACCAAGUGCUUUGAUACCAAGCAUUUACCAAGUGCUCAAUACUUAUUUAACCAAAGACUGCCAUCUUCCUUUGAAACAUUCAUCAAAAUGACAAAAAUGAAAAAGACAAAUCAUAUUCAGUGUUUGGGAGAGUGUGGGGAAAGGGCACUUUCAUGAACCAUGGAGAAUAGAAAAUCAAUACAGUCUUUCUGGAUGGAAAUCUGGCAGUCCAAAGUGAUACCACAAUCAUUUUUUUCUCAGAUCUUUUAAUUUUUUUUUAAACUCAAUCUUUUUUUAUAAUAAAUAGACCCAUAGUAUUUCUUAAUAUCUUCGCUGUUUUUCAUUUAUUGAACAUGGUAAAGUUAACGAUUAGCGAUAAAACAUCUCAAAAAUAAACUUAGAACAAAUACAUCUUAGACUCAUAAAUAACACUUUGAACAAAAUAACAAUUGUGGGCAGUUGGUGCGCUUUU